UGCACAUCAUAUCAGUUUUAAUCCGACUGGCGAUGGUGCGCCAUAUUCAAUUUUGUUAUUAUUUUUCGAAAGAAACAUUCAGCUAUAGCACAAACAAACUGGUAGUCGGUCGCAAAGGAUUCAUAUUGCGCUACAUCCAGGAUAUCACAAGCUACGACUCUACGAGGAACAGAGACAGGCAUUUGAGCAGCUGAAGACCUGCUCAUGCAGGAAGCUUCUCGACAGUUUACGCAAACCGGCUGGUCCCACAAAGCGCAUGUGGGAAAAUUCUGGGAUGAUGCGGUAUCGUAAACUUCAAUGGUAUCGAGCUGAAAUGAUCGCCAUCCUACCAAAUAAGUUCCAACCGGGUGAAAAAGCGCUAGAUUUAUUCUUCGUAGACUAUGGCGACAAUAAGUAUAUCAAACCUUCUGAUGUGUACGAGCUUCGGGCGUACUUCGAAUUCAAGCGACUGAAUGUUUUCUGGCACAAUUUGAUCAAUUCGACAACAGGGGAAGAGGAGUUGGAUCGUUUGGCGAUUACCGGAUUAGAAAAGCUUACGCAUGCGGCUCAGUGUAAGAAACUACUUUCCCGCAUUGCCAUGUACCACGUAGGUAAAGGGACAUCGAGGCAAUCGUGAAUCUCGAGGAAGUGCAUCCGGCCCAGGUGUUGAGCUGUAUGCGACUGGACUGAGGUUCGCUUGCAUCCAGGUCCGAAGAGCUUAACGAUCUUUCAUCAGCUUUUAGUGCUAAGGAUACAGUUUCGUCUGUAGUAACGACGAUUCACCCGAGUGGACCAAUUUGCGAGGUGACCAACCAAGAUGAAGAACCCAGCUCCGUUACGUCGUGAAUUGGUGAACUCCAAAAGCAGAUGAAACUGAGAGCGACGACUUCAUACAAGCAGAAAAGACGAAUUACCAGUGCAACCGGAACAGCCGUCCGCUGCUCAAUAUUCAUCCAAUAGCUUGGAAGCAGGAGCAAAUUAAUCUGCCAUGUAUUAAACCACCAACAGAUUGUGCACGGAACAAAACGUUUGCGAUGCCCAUACCGAGGCUGCUAGCAACUGCCGCGCAGUGUUUCUGGACAUGCUAUGCGAUUUACCCAGCGUUGCAGGACAAUUGACGAUGAAUUGGCGCGUCCGUAUAUCCUGACUGUCACCAAUCCCAAAACUUCCAAAUAUUUAUGCUGCUGUAGCAGAAUGGAACCGUGGUUGCGUUGGUGUGAUAAAAUCGUUACCGUCAAUUUAAUAAUAAGCGUUUUUUGUUUAUAUAAAUAUGGACAGAUAUGAUAUAGACAAAAAAAAAUCAGAGUAUACAUUUAUAAUAAAAUUAUUGAUAUGA